UCAUUAAGAAGCUAUGAACUAGCGCUAGCCUUUUAAGCUAGAGAAAGAGGAAUAGCUGUCCUCCUUAAUGGU
rnacentral:tRNA from 1 species